rnacentral:rRNA from 1 species
GAUGAACGCUAGCGGCAGGCCUAACACAUGCAAGUCGAGGGGGAAGUUACUUUCGGGUGACUGAGACCGGCGUACGGGUGCGUAACGCGUAUACAAUCUGCCUUUCACUGGGGGAUAGCCCGAAGAAAUUUGUAUUAAUACCCCAUAGUAUAUAGGGACGGCAUCGUUUUUAUAUUAAAGCUUAGGUGGUGAAAGAUGAGUAUGCGUUCUAUUAGCUAGUUGGAGAGGUAACGGCUCCCCAAGGCGAUGAUAGAUAGGGGUUCUGAGAGGGAUGUCCCCCACACUGGUACUGAGAUACGGACCAGACUCCUACGGGAGGCAGCAGUGAGGAAUAUUGGACAAUGGUCGGAAGACUGAUCCAGCCAUGCCGCGUGCAGGAUGAAGGUCUUAUGGAUUGUAAACUGCUUUUGUAAGGGAAGAAUAAGGGCUACGCGUAGUUUGAUGACGGUACCUUACGAAUAAGCAUCGGCUAACUCCGUG